rnacentral:rRNA from 1 species
CCUACGGGUUGCAGCAGUGGGGAAUAUUGCACAAUGGGCGCAAGCCUGAUGCAGCCAUGCCGCGUGUAUGAAGAAGGCCUUAGGGUUGUAAAGUACUUCAGUUGGGAGAAAGGCGUUGAUGCUAAUAUCAUCAACGAUUGACGUUACCAACAGAAGAAGCACCGGCUAACUCCGUGCCAGCAGCCGCGGUAAUACGGAGGGUGCAAGCGUUAAUCGGAAUUACUGGGCGUAAAGCGCACGCAGGCGGUUGAUUAAGUUAGAUGUGAAAUCCCCGGGCUUAACCUGGGAAUGGCAUCUAAGACUGGUCAGCUAGAGUCUUGUAGAGGGGGGUAGAAUUCCAUGUGUAGCGGUGAAAUGCGUAGAGAUGUGGAGGAAUACCGGUGGCGAAGGCGGCCCCCUGGACAAAGACUGACGCUCAGGUGCGAAAGCGUGGGGAGCAAACAGGAUUAGAUACCCGCGUAGUC